ensembl:processed_transcript POU domain, class 3, transcription factor 3 adjacent noncoding transcript 2
UCAGGACACUGGACUCCUGCUGACCUUGCCAGACCCUUCUCCUGGAGAAGCAGAGAGCCCGUUUUGGAUGCUAGCAUCUCCGGUGCCUUUGGGUACCUUGGCCACUUCCAAAGACUGCAUAGUUGAGGCUGAUAGCUUCCCACACCCCUCUGGUUAAAAAGCAUGGAGGACAAGGUCUGGUGAUUCCUGGAAGAGGGGAAAGUAUUCAAAGGACCCCACCCCCACCCCUGCACUGGAGAGCGCACGCACGCACGCACCUCAAGCAUACCUUGCGUUCACAAGGCCCUGUAUUCUCAUCACCGCAGAAAACAAAAACUCACGGGACAGCUAUUAAAUAACUCUUGGAAGAGGUUAAAGGUCUUUCCCUUGGGGCUGAGAAGUUUUAAAGCCCUUUUGGGUAGAUCCUCAGGGGAUACGACAUAGAAAUUAAACUUGCCGGUUCGAUUCUAAAAUCCGAAAUCUCUCUCCUCUUAAAACUGCUCAUUGAAAACGGUUUUUAGAUACCAUGUUUGCUGACUGGCCUCCCCAUUCUGAGGCUGGACAGUCUCAAGGCCAUGCCGCUAAGACCUCUGUGCUGGUUUUGGGGGUGCCAUCCACUUUCUGAUUAGAUCUGUUGACUUUGUCUUUAACUCUGCGGGUGGGUUUUCAGACAUCAAAAAUGUAAAUGACAAGUUAACCCCUUCCCUGCCAGCACAUUACAGGAGUCUGUCCUUAGAGGAUGCCAGCUUGGCUUGUACUCCUAAAAGUGGGCACUGUGUCUGACCUGGGCAGAAAGAGGAGAUUUGACACUUUUCAUUUCAGGGCUGACACAGGAGCCUUUGGGAGCCAGUAUCUAUUUUGUUUCCGACUGCAAAGUUCCAGCCAAUGAUUUGGAGGGGGGGGGAUGGGGUGGGGGGUGGGUACCUUCUGCUGGGAGCUAGUCUGGGAGGGAACAACUCAUUCCUGAGUUCUCUUUCGCAAACAUAUCUCUUGUUCAUUAAAAUAACAGUAAUAAAAAUAAGAAU